GACGUAGGGCGCGAGCGUUGUCCGGAUUUAUUGGGCGUAAAGAGCUCGUAGGCGGCUUGUUGCGUCGACCGUGAAAACCCGUGGCUUAACUGCGGGCUUGCGGUCGAUACGGGCGGGCUGGAGUUCGGUAGGGGAGACUGGAAUUCCUGGUGUAGCGGUGAAAUGCGCAGAUAUCAGGAGGAACACCGGUGGCGAAGGCGGGUCUCUGGGCCGAUAUUGACGCUGAGGAGCGAAAGCGUGGGGAGCGAACAGG
rnacentral:rRNA from 1 species